AUUGAACGCUGGCGGCAUGCUUUACACAUGCAAGUCGGACGAGUGGCGAACGGGUGAGUAACAUAUCGGAACGUACCGAGUAAUGGGGGAUAACUAAUCGAAAGAUUAGCUAAUACCGCAUAUUAUUCGAGCGGCCGAUAUCUGCUUGGCUGGUUGGUGGGGUACAGGCCUACCAAGGCGACGAUCCGUAGCGGGUCUGAGAGGAUGAUCGGCCACACUGGGACUGAGACACGGACCAGCCUCCUACGGACUGCAGCAGUGGGGAAUUUUGGACAAUGGGCGCAAGCCUGAUACAGCGAUGCCGCGUGUCUGAGGAAGGCCUUCGGGUUGUAAAGGACUUUUGUCAGGGAAGCGGUACCUGAAGAAUAAGCGCCGGCUAACUACGUGCCAGCCGCCGCGGUAAUUC
rnacentral:rRNA from 1 species